rnacentral:rRNA from 1 species
GACGAACGCUGGCGGCGUGCUUAACACAUGCAAGUCGAACGGAAAGGCCCUUCGGGGUACUCGAGUGGCGAACGGGUGAGUAACACGUGGGUGAUCUGCCCUGCACUUUGGGAUAAGCCUGGGAAACUGGGUCUAAUACCGAAUAUGAUCAUUGGCUUCAUGGUCGGUGGUGGAAAGCUUUUGCGGUGUGGGAUGGGCCCGCGGCCUAUCAGCUUGUUGGUGGGGUAAUGGCCUACCAAGGCGACGACGGGUAGCCGGCCUGAGAGGGUGACCGGCCACACUGGGACUGAGAUACGGCCCAGACUCCUACGGGAGGCAGCAGUGGGGAAUAUUGCACAAUGGGCGCAAGCCUGAUGCAGCGACGCCGCGUGAGGGAUGACGGCCUUCGGGUUGUAAACCUCUUUCAGCACAGACGAAGCGCAAGUGACGGUAUGUGCAGAAGAAGGACCGGCCAACUACGUG